rnacentral:sRNA from 1 species
AUCCGGUAGGGAUAGAAGCGGCAUCCUUUUUCGAAGUAUGAGAAAAAAAUAUAGCGUAUAGCCCGGCCCGAA